rnacentral:ncRNA from 2 species
AUGAAGCAGCAGGAAAAUUCCUAAAUAUAUUCAAUUUGUAUAAUAAGGAAGCCGAUGAAGCAAUUUAAAAUCGCCAAAUUUUAAAGAAACUUUCAGGCAAACCGACCUGCUGUUGAUG